rnacentral:rRNA from 1 species
UACGGAGGGGGCAAGCGUUGUCCGGAAUUAUUGGGCGUAAAGAGCGCGUAGGCGGUCCGAUAAGUCGGCUGUGAAAGUCAGGGGCUCAACCCUUGAAAGCCGGCCGAUACUGUCGGACUAGAGUCCGGAAGAGGCAAGUGGAAUUCCCGGUGUAGCGGUGAAAUGCGCAGAUAUCAGGAGGAACACCGGUGGCGAAGGCGGGACUCUGGGCCGAUACUGACGCUGAGGAGCGAAAGCGUGGGGAGCAAACAGG